UGCAAAUUGUGAGUACCUAUGAAGGAUCACAUGUGUUGCCUCAAAUCUCUUGGCAUAUUCUACAGCAACCACGUUGAGCUUGCCUGCCUCCACUGCUAUUUCAAAUUCAACCUACACGUACAUGAUUCAGCCAAGAAACUGUUGUGGAAAUUGUCAAUUACCUGUUGCAUUUCAGCUAGCUUCGAUAUCUCUGAAAUCGCUGCAUCUUUUGAAUAUUCGACCAUCUUUUCUUGAAUUUCUUCCUCUCUGUCUUCUUUUUUCUUAUUGCUUUUUGCACUUGAAUGCAAAUAUCUGUCACAACCUGCAUGAAACCUAGAACUAAUAAGGGGAACAGAAUCACAACAGAAAACUAACCCUUCGUCCUAAUAAAUUUAGGGUGGGCUACGCGAAUCAUUUUUUGCCACUUUAACCGGUUGAUUGCUAGAUCAGUAAAGGAAACAGAACGCUAACUGCUCCCUUUCCACUGGGAUAGUGCACUUGCAUACAGAACUCUUGAAUGCCUGAAUGACAACAAGAAGCUUGAUUUUGCCACCAGUCUGAAGCCAUGAACCUCGAAGGACUUGUUUGAUGGAAACGAUGCAAAUUUUCCAGAAAUCAUCUUGGACUAUUAGCACCUUCUGAUCAUUCAUCAACAUACUUUUGCACUUCCAGAAAAAAAGAAGAAACAUUUCAGCUAGAACUCUGCUUCAUGCUAUGCAAAACUUUAUGGAAUUGUAGCCAAAAAAGUACCUGAAAUUCUCUGGCCAAAGGG